rnacentral:rRNA from 1 species
CUGACGGCUCAGUAACACGCGGAUAAUCUGCCCUUGGGUGGAGGAUAAUCUCGGGAAACUGAGAAUAAUACUCCAUAAGUCUAGGAUGCUGGAAUGCACUUAGGCUGAAAGCUUCGGUGCCCAAGGAUGAGUCUGCGGACUAUCAGGUUGUAGUCAGGGUAACGACCUGACUAGCCUACGACGGGUACGGGUUGUGAGAGCAAGAGCCCGGAGAUGGAUUCUGAGACACGAAUCCAGGCCCUACGGGGUGCAGCAGGCGCGAAAACUUUACAAUGCUGGCAACAGCGAUAAGGGGACCUCGAGUGCCAGGAUACAAUCCUGGCUGUCGUAAUGCCUAAAAAGCAUUGCAUAGCAAGGGCCGGGCAAGACCGGUGCCAGCCGCCGCGGUAACACCGGCGGCUCGAGUGGUAACCGCUAUUAUUGGGUCUAAAGGGUCUGUAGCCGGCUGACUAAGUCUCUUGGGAAAUCUGGCAGCUCAACUGUCAGGCUUUCAGGGGAUACUGAUCGGCUCGAGACCGGGAGAGGUGAGAGGUACCUCAGGGGUAGGGGUGAAAUCUUGUAAUCCUUGAGGGACCACCAGUGGCGAAGGCGUCUCACCAGAACGGAUCUGACGGCAAGGGACGAAAGCUAGGGGCACGAACC